GAUGAACGCUGGCGGCGUGCCUAAUACAUGCAAGUCGAGCGAACGGACGAGAAGCUUGCUUCUCUGAUGUUAGCGGCGGACGGGUGAGUAACACGUGGAUAACCUACCUAUAAGACUGGGAUAACUUCGGGAAACCGGAGCUAAUACCGGAUAAUAUUUUGAACCGCAUGGUUCAAAAGUGAAAGACGGUCUUGCUGUCACUUAUAGGUGGAUCCGCGCUGCAUUAGCUAGUUGGUAAGGUAACGGCUUACCAAGGCAACGAUGCAUAGCCGACCUGAGAGGGUGAUCGGCCACACUGGAACUGAGACACGGUCCAGACUCCUACGGGAGGCAGCAGUAGGGAAUCUUCCGCAAUGGGCGAAAGCCUGACGGAGCAACGCCGCGUGAGUGAUGAAGGUCUUCGGAUCGUAAAACUCUGUUAUUAGGGAAGAACAUAUGUGUAAGUAACUGUGCACAUCUUGACGGUACCUAAUCAGAAAGCCACGGCUAACUACGUGCCAGCAGCCGCGGUAAUACGUAGGUGGCAAGCGUUAUCCGGAAUUAUUGGGCGUAAAGCGCGCGUAGGCGGUUUUUUAAGUCUGAUGUGAAAGCCCACGGCUCAACCGUGGAGGGUCAUUGGAAACUGGAAAACUUGAGUGCAGAAGAGGAAAGUGGAAUUCCAUGUGUAGCGGUGAAAUGCGCAGAGAUAUGGAGGAACACCAGUGGCGAAGGCGACUUUCUGGUCUGUAACUGACGCUGAUGUGCGAAAGCGUGGGGAUCAAACAGGAUUAGAUACCCUGGUAGUCCACGCCGUAAACGAUGAGUGCUAAGUGUUAGGGGGUUUCCGCCCCUUAGUGCUGCAGCUAACGCAUUAAGCACUCCGCCUGGGGAGUACGACCGCAAGGUUGAGACUCAAGGGAAUUGACGGGGACCCGCACAAGCGGUGGAGCAUGUGGUUUAAUUCGAAGCAACGCGAAGAACCUUACCAAAUCUUGACAUCCUUUGACAACUCUAGAGAUAGAGCCUUCCCCUUCGGGGGACAAAGUGACAGGUGGUGUAUGGUUGUCGUCAGCUCGUGUCGUGAGAUGUUGGGUUAAGUCCCGCAACGAGCGCAACCCUUAAGCUUAGUUGCCAUCAUUAAGUUGGGCACUCUAAGUUGACUGCCGGUGACAAACCGGAGGAAGGUGGGGAUGACGUCAAAUCAUCAUGCCCCUUAUGAUUUGGGCUACACACGUGCUACAAUGGACAAUACAAAGGGCAGCGAAACCGCGAGGUCAAGCAAAUCCCAUAAAGUUGUUCUCAGUUCGGAUUGUAGUCUGCAACUCGACUACAUGAAGCUGGAAUCGCUAGUAAUCGUAGAUCAGCAUGCUACGGUGAAUACGUUCCCGGGUCU
rnacentral:rRNA from 1 species